rnacentral:tRNA from 1 species
UAAGUUGUAGCUAAUUUUAAGUAUUCCACUUACGCUGGGAGGAUUGCCGCUAUGGCACUGCUUAA